CUCAAAUAUCUGUCAUGGAUAAAUAAAGUUAUUUAAAUCAAUUUGACAUCAACAUUAUUUCGAUACCUGUAAAAUAUCGGCGUUCGUGUUCAUUUGAAAAUCGCUCGUGAAAGAAUCGAAUUUGCCUAAUAGUUGUCAAGACAAGAUAAUGUACAGCUCGCUUUACAAGUUUAGAGGCAGUUAUGAUCUAGAAUAUAUUUCAAUGCGUAAAAAUUGUGAUAAUAUUAUCACUACACCUUGCUACAGCAUUUGGAUAUGGUAUUCAUCAGUACGUAUGGUUGUUAUUGUCAUAACAUGCAGGGACGGAUCUAG